rnacentral:rRNA from 1 species
AGCAGCCGCGGUAAUUCCAGCUCCAAUAGCGUAUAUUAAAGUUGUUGCAGUUAAAAAGCUCGUAGUUGAAUUUCGGGAUCAAUAUGUUGGUCGUGCCUCGGUACGUACUAGCUUAUUGGUUUCUCCUUUCUGAAGAACCAUGAUGUCAUUUAUUUGGUGUCGUGGGGAAUCAGGACUGUUACUUUGAAAAAUUAGAGUGUUUAAAGCAGGCUCACGCUUGAAUACAUUAGCAUGGAAUAAUGAAAUAGGACGUUUGAUUCUAUUUUGUUGGUUUUUAGGAUCGACGUAAUGAUUAAUAGGGAUAGUUGGGGGCAUUAGUAUUCAAUUGUCAGAGGUGAAAUUCUUGGAUUUAUUGAAGACUAACUACUGCGAAAGCAUUUGCCAAGGAUGUUUUCAUUAAUCAAGAACGAAAGUUAGGGGAUCGAAGACGAUCAGAUACCGUCGUAGUCUUAACCAUAAACUAUGCCGACUAGGGAUC